AUAAAAACAAUUUAAAUCAAUUUUAGAAUAAGGCUGUAAUGUAACAAAAUGUGGAAAAAGUCAAGGGGUCUGAAUACUUCAUAUAUAUGGUAUAUCUCUAUGUGUAGGACCCUGUCAUGAGGCACCUACACAGCCUCAGAGGGGUGUGUUGUGUACCUAUUGAGGAGGUGGUGUUGGGUUCACUGACCAGGCCACAACGCAGCACACUAGGGGGCUCAAUUGUUCAACUUCAAGCCACACCCAACCAGUGUCAAGAUAGAAGGUGGACAUCCUACCCAUAAUGCCCUCUGAGAGGAGUUGUAAAAGUCAGCAGUACUGGAGCUAGACAGCCCGUCGUGCCACUUUGUGGACAACGACUCCCACUGCUAGGGCGGUGAGACAUGUAUCUUGGCAGUAUAUCCAUAAUCUUUGGUUUCCUAAAGGUUGGUAGGAUGUUGCAUCAAGGUGCUCACUGGUCAUGGAGGCUCGUUUGAGACAUUCAUCCCUCCCUCUGGGGUUGUGUUUUGGACCCUUCCACUUUGAGGUGCUGCCAGCGUGGUGUGGUCGUUGUGACGCCUGAGCGUACAGGUCCUGCCUCCAUCUCAGGUCCAGCCAGACACACCUGCUGGCCCAAGCCUCAGAAUACCAAGAAGUGCCGUCGCGGAGGUGGCACUGGAGGAGGAGGAGGUGGUGGAGUGGGAGGAGGUGGUUCACUGCCAUCCCGUCUGGGCUUCAGGCAGAACACCACCACAGAGUUCCAACCAGAUGCCAUGUUGUCCCCCGGGAAGGGCCACAGGGGAGAGGGGACCCCCAGGGCCGAGAGGAGAGAGGGGACUUCCAGGUGUACCUGGAGUGACAGGGGAUGUUGGACUCAUGAGACCUCCUGGACUGGAUGGAAUGGCUGGAGCUACUGGACUGGAAGGAGAUAAAGGUGAGAAAGGAGAUCAAGGAAACAUGGGUCUGCCUGGUGCUCCGGGGCAACUUGGGAGACAAGGAUAGAAAGGUCUACUCCAGAAGCGAGAACGACAGCAUCUUCACCGUCUUCCUGCUCUAUGCCGAACCCAAGGCCUGACCUACGACUUCGUCUGUGAACCCGGCUUGACCUCUGCAUGAGCUUUAUCUGACAACUUAUGCUGACUGGAUCGCCUCCAAACUCUUUUCACUACUCUGAUAAAUCAUCUCUUUCAAUAUAGCUACUGCUGCUAACUUUGUUCCUGCUUAUUGCUAUCAAAAUAAUCUGACCAAAUGCUUGCUGUAUUUUGAUGGUAAAGGCUGUAACACUGUAUCCAGUGGUUCCCAAACAGUGGAAAAACUUUUCAGUGUAAACUUAAAUGACUAAAACCAAAUAUAAUGUAUGUAUAAAAGAUAAUGGACCUAUAUUUUUUUCAAUAAUAGCCUAUAAUUUUUGAGAAUUUACAAUCAAGAAAAUAGCGCUAGACAAUCAGGCCCCCAUUGAUUUAGUUAAAAUGCUUGAGCAUAAGAACACCAGCCAUGUCAACGUUUGGAAAUUAGCUUAAAAACAGAAAACAAAAUAUCUCAGCUCCGUGGCAAAACGCAUAGAAUUGCAGGGAAUUGACUUUAAAAUUGCAAAAUGUUCUUUCAGCUCCAUGGCAGGAUGUGUGGAAUUGCAGGAGAUUAGCUUUGAAACUGCUUCAUUUUCUUAUCUAGAUGCCAAGAUAAUAUUUGUUACUUAUUCUUUGGUCUGUGUCUGUUUUUUCUUUUUUAACAGCUCGACCCUUAUGUUGGGUCACGACUCAAAAGACACCUCAAUCGGUGGGUCAGUUUGGGAACCCCUGCUUUAUACAACGCUUACAGUUGCUAUCAAUGCAAUAAAACACUGCUAAUGCUUGAAGUUAAAAUUGCUUGAAUUCUGUGAGUUUAGGUCUGAACCUAUCUAGACUUUACUACGACUGAUUUUAGAUUUGUCAACUGCCCAAUCCCAGCUCUGCUUAGGGACAAUCUCACCCAUUACUACUUUAAUGUGAUCCUAAGAGUAAAAAGCUGUCAUCAUUGUUGUGCCAUAGAAAUAUAGCUCCAAGGUCUGUGGGUGAUGGUGAGUGAUGUAUGAAUGCAUUAUUUUUUAUAGCCUACUGAUGUACUAGUCCACGGUCACCACCAAAAUAUAUCUGAAUGAAACGUGCAUGUUAUUUCCCCCACUAGAGGGCACUGGGACAUCACAGUUUGAAGAGGAGGGCUGAAUGAGGAUUGUAUUAAUUCUACAGUCUCAUGUAAAAUUAUUUUUUAAAUACACUAAAAUAAUGUUGAUAUUCAAGCAAAUGUAGAGGGGGAAAACACACACAUGCUAUAAUUAUUUAUGUUACACCACCCACAUACAUUUAAAUCAAAAUAAAGCAGGUUUGUACUAGCACAAUUCCCCCCUGGCGGUGACUGUCAUGCUUCAUCCCUGUGACCUGUGAUGUUGCCUCCCACCA